ensembl:lncRNA
GCUGAUCGCAAACAUAAUGUCUCAGUGCUUAAGACAGUAGGCUACAGUAAAACAUGAUUAUAUACAACAGAUCAAUAGAUAGGUAGAAUUUUUGUGAAAAAAAUUAACAAACAAGUCUUUUUUACAUUAUUUUUUUUUUUAUGUUUUAAAAAAUAACACCAUCCUGAGGCAUAAAUGUUCACAUUGGACGAUUUCCUAUGCGCUUUCUUACAUCUGCGGUGGUAGAGUGCUUUAAAGUGAUGGACACAAGCAGGGGGACAGAGGGGCGCUUGCCUGCGGGGGAUGCUAAUUAUGCACUCUCUCUCCAAAUUAACCAACUUUCGCUGGGACCCAACCUCCAUCUGACACACUCGGAGAACGGGCGGAGAGGAGGGUGAGACGAAGAGCGCCAGAGAGAACGGCGAAGCUGGAAAACAGAAACAAACCAAUAAUCUUGUACUUUGCCUCUUGAAGGCGAGCCACAGUGCCUCUAAUGUAGACAAGUCAUUUUGUAGAAACCACUAACGCCCGCGGGGGACGGGGGAACACAUUGCGGGCCGCCUCAUUUCAAAGAUCUUUUGCAAUCAGCACCACAAUGGAGGCCCUCAUUUUAUGCUGCUACAUCAUAAAAGUGCUCUUUUGUUACAUUUCCAUCCUUAAAAGGGCCUUAAUCCCUUUCUUUUCAGGCAAGUCUAUGGCAAAUUCCACAGGGACAUCCCAUUCGCUGCAAGGGCUAGAGUGACCCACUCAGAAAGCAGCGUGCGUGGCUUUGAGCCUUUCUUCUCCUGCCACUCUCGUGAGAACAUUAAAUCGUACUUUUCAUUCCCCUCACUGUGGGGGGACGCCCCUUAAUGAUGACAGAGAAAGAGAAAUUCCUCCACUCGGGUCCUAUGAUACCAUUCUGCUGUCAAGCAGGCAUCUCGGUGGACAGAGAAUCAAACAUGGCUUCCUGCAGGUGGAGUGGCGAUGAAGGUCACACCGCAGCUCAGAGGAGCAGGGGGAGAGGCAGCACUUCAGAGGAGUCGCCAGCUUUCUCACAGCAAAUUAAGUCGUCCGUGAAAAUGUCAGCGGCAGAGGCACCCGGAUGUUGAGGGUGUAAUGCGGUGGGAUUUAGGCAGGUGAAAAAGUCUGCCAGUGUUCCUGCUGAUAGCUGGAUAGAGACCUCAACAACACAUCCAAAGCUUUGGGAGCAUUUUACCGUGAGUGUCACUCCUUUGUAAUGGAUUUUCUGUCUCCAAGGGGUUAGUAGUGAGCAGAAGAGACAAGGAAAUAUGUUAGUGUGUACUGUGUGUACAGAAAUGCAAUUUCCACAUCUUUCUUUUGUGAUCCCGGACUGAAAAUUAAAGUCAUGUGCGAGCCUUACAACAUGCUUGCAUUAAACGCAUUCUCCCUUUGUGGUAUACAAGAACAAGCAGAGUUCAGCAACCUUGAACCAAACUUCACUCAGAUAUACUGACAAUGCUGAAAGUAGAGGUUUCAUCAAUGUACUGAAUAUUUGAAGUGCAAAAGGAAUACUUGAAUUUCAUUAUCCAAUAGGGACUCAUCAAUCAAUGCUCAGCUUAUCAUUUUUUUUUAACCCACUUACUGUUAGGCCAUCAUUCUCCACUUUAGCCUGCCAGGGCUGGCUAUAGUUCGAAGCCAGAAAGUGUGAGAGCAUGUGUGUUUUUAAUUUACACUAUAGUGUCAGUACAAAUUGUCUGACAUUUCUAACCACCUUCACUCAGAUCUGAAGGAUUAUGUGGUGAAACAUGGACAGUGUCCUGCGUGGUUAGGACAGAACCAACAUAUUACCAAUCUAUGACAGGCAUUAUCACCCCAUAACAUGUACUUUAUGUAUUAACCACAGCAUAGAGUGAAUUCUUUGCAUUGCUGUAGAC